GCCCUUGUAGCUCAGUUGGUAGAGCACCUGAUUUGUAAUCAGGGGGUCCCGGGUUCGAACCCUGGCGGGGGCA
rnacentral:tRNA from 5 species